CUGAUUUUACAUGCGUUACAGUUGAGGGAAGAUCCAUUAAAAAUCCUUUUAAUUUUUUCUCCUUUUUGGGUACAGAUCCAUGAUAUUCCAAUGGGGUUUUUCUCUGAAAGUUUGGCACAACAAUUAGGUAAUUUUUUGGGUAAGUUUUUGGAGUAUAAUAGUUCAGAUCUGGGGAGACAGGAUUGGAAUUUCAUGAUAAUUCGGGUUCAAUUGGACAUCUG
rnacentral:lncRNA from 1 species